rnacentral:rRNA from 1 species
ACGGAGGGUGCAAGCGUUAUCCGGAUUUAUUGGGUUUAAAGGGUCCGCAGGCGGAUCAAUAAGUCAGUGGUGAAAGCCCGCAGCUCAACUGCGGAACUGCCAUUGAUACUGUUGAUCUUGAGUGUGGUUGAAGUGGGCGGAAUGUGUCGUGUAGCGGUGAAAUGCUUAGAUAUGACACAGAACACCAAUUGCGAAGGCAGCUCACUAAGCCAUUACUGACGCUCAGGGACGAAAGCGUGGGGAGCGAACAGG